GCUAAAGCCACGCCCCCUUCCGGUUGCUCGCCCUGGUUUGUUACCGGUGUGUAGAACGUUCGGCGUGUUGUCUUGAUUGGCGGCUGAGCAUCUGUGGUAGGGACGUGGUGUUGUCAGUGGUGGUAUCCUUCCCUGUGUGAUGUGUGAACCCUGGGUAUUUUUCGUUUCAUCCAUCACCUGUGUGUGUGAUUUUAUUCACCUGGUGACCUCUCCCUGUUCCUCCCCUCUGGUGACACAUCCUGCCACAUGGAUGGAUCUGCAGAGACUUUGAUUCAUCUGCCGUCUGGACAUGGAGUGAUGUGGGUCUCCUCUAAUCAGACAGUGGGAUGCUGCAAGUCACUAGACUGACCUCCUGUGCUUUGGAAGGGGAGGAGCUCACAGCGCCACCUGCUGCUCGUUGAGGACAGUAACUGCAGAACGAUCCCAGCUUUCAUGUCAGACAGGGGCGGAUCCAGAUUAAUUUUAGUGGGGGGGCACAGGGGGGUACAACAGAUAUUUUGGGGGGGUUGUAAGAAAAAAUUAAAGCUGCUACCGACCUCUCGCUUUUACAAAGUAUUUUUCAUGUGUUUUUUGGCUCUUUAACCCAAUAGGAAAGCUGUAUAUGACCUUUUCAUUUUAGACUGUUAACAUUCAAAUUAUGAUGGACUUGUUUAUGUGAAUUACAACAUCAUUAGCUGCAACAUCUGCCUGUUCUGUAAAACUGGUAGCUCAACGACAGCAUCCUGAGGGCAAUUAAGUGACAAAUAUUGUGCAAGAACAGCACUAUUACAACCCUGUCAAUUUCCACAAUGUUUACUGCCAAUUAUCACACAUAAAACAAGAAAUAAUAUUCUGUACUAAUACUUCUCUACUACCCAAUACACAGUGAAUAAAUAUUAUCUGAAAGUCGGGUUAUUGUUUUUUAUCAGCACAAUACAAAAAGAUUCAUGUUAGACAUAUUCCAGUUAAGACUAGAAUAUCAGGAUUUAUGUAAAUUUACCUCAAUAAUAUGAAUGUUCAGGUUAAGAUUGUACAGUGAUAUUUAUUAUGCAAGUUUAGCUGAUUAAAGUUUAUGACUCUGCACUACAAUAUUAUUUAUUAUUUAAAUUGACAUCAUUAUUAUAAUAUUUAGGGUCAGACUCUACAGUAUUGAGAUUAAGAAAUCAAAUAUUCUAUAAAAUGUAAAUACACUGAACUAAUCUGGAUAUAUUUAAGUGAGACUCUACAAUAUUAUUUAUGACACAAAUCUAUCUAAAUCAACAUUUUAAUCAUUUCUUACUCCAAACAUUGACUGGACUGAUUUAAAUAUUAAAAUCACUCCUUUCUAAUCCUCUGCUGUACGUUCAAACCUGAGGCCUGAAAUAGAAACACACAAGUAUCUGAUUGAAGGAACUUCUGCAGAGUCCUGGUUCCAGAACAUGAUGAUAGAAUUAUAGACAAACUUUAACAAAAGCUGCCUGAGAGUUUACAGCUUUUUAUGUUAGAUUUCUUCAGUAAUUUAAUGAGAGUUAUCAGAAAAAAUCAAGUGUUCAUUUGAUGAACUUCAUUUCCUAAAACAUCCAGAAUUGGAGCUCAUAUCUUUGGCAGCUGUAAAGUUUCUGCUCCUUCAAAGUUCACAACACAAUGAAUGAAUUCCUAAAACACUCUCAGUGCUGGAGAGCGUUUGAUGCUGAAGCAGUGACCAGUUUUUCUGUUUCUUCUCUGGAGAUGCACAAUGAGGGACGUCUGCAGAGACUGAGAAAGAGUCUCAUCACAUCCUGACAUGAGGAAAAAGACUUCAUUGAAGACUACAAUGAGAAAAACUAUCAGACAGCAGACGGCUGCAUUCAAGUUUAGGCUGCUAGAUUGUUCCAGAUAAGACAAGUACAAGAUUCUUCAGAGCUGUUCUACCACGAGCCUGACAGGAAGAACUCCAACAGCUACUGAAUGUUCCUGUGGUUCCCUCAAGGCUACAGGAGGAGCCCUACGAGGACGAGCCGGUCCACCUGAUGGCGGCCAGUCGCUGCGGUUCAAAGCCAACACCGACUACGUGGACUUCUACUGGACCACACGGAGGCCUUCAAACCGGACCAACAAGUUCAGCGACUCCCCGACUCGUGGGUCUGAGGACGCCGCCGAGCCUCGGUCCAGCCGGCCUCCUGUCUGUGGGUGUUUGAGUGCUGAGAGGUUUGUGGAUGCAUGUGAACGUUCUGUGUUGAAACAGCAGCUUUGGACUCAGUAACGCCGGGAAAAACCAAGAGCUCCUUUAUUUGUGACUUCCACUAAAAAAACUGAUGAAAAUAAGUUUGCCAGGGUUCUGACUGAUAACAGAUUAUUAAAUAAUGAAAAUAACUGUUUAAAUAUUCCUUUAAACAAUCCUUAGGUCUACAUUUCCUUUACACUGACUUCUUGGUAAAUGUACAAGUAUUUUUGGUGGAAUGUACCAUUAAGCCUAAUGUUCAAGGGUUCUUCUGGGAACAUACCAUUAAACCAACCUUUUAGGUAAAUGUUCCAGGAUGUUGGGUAGAAUAUACCAUCAGAUCAACCUUUUAGAUGUACAUUGGAAGAUUUUAGAGUGGAAUAUUACUCCAAACUCCUUUACACCAAGAUUUUUUGGUCUACAUUGAAGGAUUUUAGGUGGAAUAUUCCUUUGAACGAACUUUUUAAGUUUAUGUUCCAAGAUGUUGGGUGGAAUAUACCAUCAGACCAACCUCCAAGGUCUACAGUAGUGAAUUUUAGGUGGAAUAUACCAUUAAACUCACCUUUUAGGUCUACAUUGGAGGAUUUUAGGUGGAAUUUUCUUCCAAACAUCUUUUAGUCUACAUUUAAGGAUGUUUAGGAUGGUAUAUUCUUCCAAACCAACUUCUCAGGUCUACAUUUCAGGUGGAAUAUUCCUCCAUACUAUCUUUUUUGGUCUACAUUGAAGGAUUUUUUCUAAACCACCCUUUGGGGUCUAUAUUUGAGGUUUUAGGUGGAAUAUUCCUUUAAACCAACCUAAAUUUCAUGUUUUGAUCAUUAUCAAGUGAGAAACCUCAGUCCAGACUCCUCAUAACGACGUUUGAGAUUUAUGCUGCUGUUAUUUGUUUAGUCCAGACUAAAUGACAGAAAUCCACAACUGUAAUUUUAUUUCAGGACUCGGUUAUUAAAUGUCAAAACAAUCUAUGUGACUCUAAAAACUCAACAGCUUUACAAACUCUAAGAUUAAACUCUCCACAAGGAUCUAAAAUAGGUUGGACUUCUACAUGAGAGCUUUAAUUAUUCUUCAUCUACUUCCUGAAAAGUUUGGUCAAUAAAAAAGACAAAAACUAAUAUUUUCAGCUGAACUAAAGACAGACUUUGUGAUUUUUCUGCUCACAUGUUGUGUUGUUGUAAACUUCCUCUUUCAAAUAAAUAGCCUCCUAACCCCCUGGAAACCAGCGUUUGUCCUGUUUUUGUGUUGCUCCUCGGCGACCCUAGACAGCCGG
ensembl:lncRNA